GAUGAUGCUUAAAAGGUGCGUUUGAGAAAAGUCCAUCAUAUACUUCAAUGCUAAUAAUAUCCGCUGCUGAUAGUGCAUGGAUACGUUCUUAUGGUCAUUCGCUUGGAAGGACUUCAUGAAGGAACUUUGCGCACAUGGGACGCUUAUCUCCUGUUGAAUAGUCUUCUGCUUUUUGUACUGGCUUGAUAAGCUAUUCUGAGCAUUUAGGAAGCUGCCAUGGACUCUAAUUGGGCAUGCGAAAACUAUCCCCUGCAAAUCCUCUCCUGUGUAUCUCGGCAAAUCUCCUGGCCUUCCCUCGCCCAGCCGCGUGCCAAGAGCGGCCACUUCCUACAGGACAUCCCUGACUGUCGGUUCAUGAUCAUGAGCGUUUUCCCAUCCAAAGCGAAAAAGAGUUCACUUCAAAGACUUAUUACACCAAAACUAUAUUUAUUCCUUGUUUUUCACUCUUCCCCAUAAGUGCAUUUGAGAUUGUACAUUUGCACAAGCCAAAGGGCCUGAAAAUAAAA